UACGUAGGGUGCAAGCGUUGUCCGGAAUUAUUGGGCGUAAAGAGCUCGUAGGCGGUUCGUCGCGUCGGCUGUGAAAACCCGGAGCUCAACUCCGGGCCUGCAAUCGAUACGGGCAGACUAGAGUUCGGUAGGGGAGACUGGAAUUCCUGGUGUAGCGGUGAAAUGCGCAGAUAUCAGGAGGAACACCAGUGGCGAAGGCGAGUCCCUGGACAAACCCUGACACUGAGGCACGAAAGCCAAGGGAGCAAACAGG
rnacentral:rRNA from 1 species